rnacentral:tRNA from 1 species
GGAAUAUAGCUCAAUUGGUAGAGUGCUUGCCUCGCAUGAACAUAGGACCUGGGUUCAAUUCCCAGCACCG